UACGAGGGGGGCGAGCGUUGUUCGGAAUUACUGGGCGUAAAGCGUGCGCAGGCGGUUAUGCAAGACAGAUGUGAAAUCCCCGGGCUCAACCUGGGAACUGCAUUUGUGACUGCAUAGCUAGAGUACGGUAGAGGGGGAUGGAAUUCCGCGUGUAGCAGUGAAAUGCGUAGAUAUGCGGAGGAACACCGAUGGCGAAGGCAAUCCCCUGGACCUGUACUGACGCUCAUGCACGAAAGCGUGGGGAGCAAACAGG
rnacentral:rRNA from 1 species